GUCUAUAGCCGUACCACCCUGAACACACAGAUCUUGUCUGAUCUUGGAAAGUAAGCAGGAUCAGACCUAGUUAGUACCUGGAGGGGAGACAAGAAGCCAGGCCUCUGUGGCAU
rnacentral:rRNA from 1 species